UGUUUAAUCACCUAGACCAAGGUAAAAAAAGGUGGCGCAAAUCGCAGAAACAAACCGUAGCUCAUUCCUUAUACAUGGACUAUGUUCUUCCCCUAAGCUUUUGAUUACAUCUCCCACAGCUCUCUUCCUGUGCUCAGCGAUGAAUGCAACCGCCAUUAGAGUCUGAAUUUUCUGGUGGUAAAUUAAACGCGUCCUUGAAACUACGUAAAUUCUCAGCAAAAAUAGAGAAUUGGGAAAAUUAUUCAGUGCUAUAUAUGAAACGGGUAUUUGAAUUCUCACGGAAUUUGAGCUUACCCUUUGUGAAUGGUCUUCAAUUACAAAGGGAAGGAACUCAGAGUGCGAUUCCUGCAAGCAGUUUCAAUAAAAUGUGGAGUGGACUGUGGAGAGAUAAACGAACAAUUGGUCUGUUUCUGUUUGGCAGCUGAGAAAAUGUAUUGUAUAACUCACCAAGGAAAGCGCGAUUGCAGAUUUUGAUCUUUUCCAAGUAGCCCCUGAGAUAUGAAACGGUUUGGAUAUCGUAACGACGUCGUCCCAAGUGAAGACAUCAUCGGAGGCUGAGACUGAUGCAGUACGACAAGUGACAACUUUGUGAAAAGCUUGCUGGUUGGAACGAACUGGAAACGACGUCGUAAGUGCCUUGGGGAAAGCGCAAAAAGCUUUGGCUGUAAAACGGAAGACCAGAGAGUCAACGAGUCUGUGAGAGCCGAGGAAUGCCGCUGCUGCAGCCCAUGAGAGCGGGUCCGGCAAAAAAAAAAGGAAAAAUCGGGCUAGGCGGGCUAGGCGGGCUAGGCGGGCUAGGCGGUUCCCCUUAUUAUUAUUAUUAUUAUUAUUAUUAUUAUUUAUUUUUAUAAUUUUAAUUUUUAAAUUUUUUUUUUUCCUGACUUUAAAGAAAACCUGAGUUUUAAAGUGUUUAUUCGCUGCGAUAUUAUUGUGAGUGCCUGAUUGCUUCUCACCACAAGAGAUGGAAAUGGCCAAUGAGGCUGAUGAAGAUGGGGAAGGAGAGAGAGAAAAAUCCAAUACUUGCCAAGAAUGUGGUGCUUCUUUUAAGAAACCUGCAUAUCUCAAGCGACACCUGCAAAGCCAUUCCCUCGAGGAUUCAACAUUUUUAACUACUAUCAUUUGGAUAUCGUGAAGCAUUGGAUCCCACACAAAGAACUCCAAAAUGCGAGAGGUUUCUAACUUUAAUGGACCAGUAUCAGGUGGGAGACCUCCUGUGAAGCUCCAUCAAGUGAACCUCAAUCACGUACUGCUCGGUUUGAGGUUUGAAUGCUUGAGCAUGAGAAGACUGGGCGUCAUGUGUAUGCAUAUGUGAGUAUUAUUCUUAAAUCAUUCAAUACCCUCAUGUGUUGGAUUUUGGGAUAAGCAUCUUUUCCAGGACACUAUUGCUUUGAAUUGCUGGGGGAUUUUGAAGAGGCUAAUGAGCAAUUCCCAACACUAGAUAUGGAAAUUGGGUGAUGCUGUGAAUCUGAACACUGAAUAUGUAAAGCAUUUCUGUAUUUUUUGGAUAUAAGCAUUCUUCUGUUUAGUUGAACCACAACCUCUAUCUGAACUAUGAAGAACGAAUUUGUGCA